rnacentral:rRNA from 1 species
UACGGAGGGGGCUAGCGUUGUUCGGAAUUACUGGGCGUAAAGCGCGCGUAGGCGGCCAACUAAGUCAGACGUGAAAAUCCCCAGGCUCAACCUGGGAACUGCGUCUGAUACUGGAUGGCUUGAAUCCGGGAGAGGGAUGCAGAAUUCCAGGUGUAGCGGUGAAAAUGCGUAGAUAUCUGGGAGGAAUACCGGUGGCGAAAGGGCGGCGAUCCUG